rnacentral:rRNA from 1 species
UUUCGACCUGAGCUCAGGCAAGAGCACCCGCUGAACUUAA